UACGGGGGGGGCAAGCGUUGUUCGGAAUUACUGGGCGUACAGGGCGCGUAGGCGGCCUGCUAAGUCGGACGUGAAAUCCCUCGGCUCAACCGAGGAACUGCGUCCGAUACUGGUGGGCUUGAAUCCGGGAGAGGGAUGUGGAAUUCCAGGUGUAGCGGUGAAAUGCGUAGAUAUCUGGAGGAACACCGGUGGCGAAGGCGGCAUCCUGGACCGGUAUUGACGCUGAGGCGCGAAAGCUAGGGGAGCAAACGGG
rnacentral:rRNA from 1 species